UACGUAGGGGGCAAGCGUUGUCCGGAAUCAUUGGGCGUAAAGAGCGUGUAGGCGGCCAGAUAAGUCCGCUGUGAAAUCUCGAGGCUCAACUUCGAGCUGUCGGUGGAAACUGUCUGGCUAGAGUCCGGAAGAGGAGAGUGGAAUUCCUGGUGUAGCGGUGAAAUGCGCAGAUAUCAGGAAGAACACCCGUGGCUAAGGCGGCUCUCUGGGCAUUUCCUGACGCUGAGGCGCGAAAGCGUGGGGAGCAAACGGG
rnacentral:rRNA from 1 species